CGAAGCGGGCGGCGGAGGCGGCGGAGGCGCGGGCGGCCGAGCGGGAGCGGGAGGUGCAGGAGCUGCGGGACACGGCGCGGGGGCUGGAGCGCAGCCUGGGCAACCUGCGGGGCAGGGCGGGCCAGCUGGCCACCGCCUGCCGCGACAAGGACGGCAAGAUGAAGAAGCUGCUGGUGGAGACGGAGAAGCUGUCGGCGGAGGUGCUGGGGCUCCGCAGCCAAAACGCCCGGCUCCAGCUCCAGCUGGAGGUCCAGCAGAAAAACCACCGGGACAUCGUGGCCAUCUAUAGGACCCACCUCCUCAACGCUGCCCAGGGCUUCAUGGACGAGGGGGUCCACGCCAUGCUGCUGCACAUCCUGCGCACGGAGGAGUGAGGGGCAGGAUGGGGACCAGUCCCACCAGUCCCACCAGUCCCCCCCCCCAGCCAUUAAACUGGACCAGUCGCCUGUCCCCA